rnacentral:rRNA from 1 species
UACGUAGGGGGCAAGCGUUGUCCGGAUUUAUUGGGCGUAAAGAGCGUGUAGGCGGCCUUACAGGUCAGCUGUGAAAACUCGAGGCUCAACCUCGAGACGUCGGUUGAAACCGUAUGGCUAGAGUCCGGAAGAGGAGAGUGGAAUUCCCGGUGUAGCGGUGAAAUGCGCAGAUAUCGGGAGGAACACCAGUGGCGAAGGCGACUACCUGGCCUGUUCUUGACGCUGAGGCGCGAAAGCUAGGGGAGCAAACGGG